GAGGUUAAUGUCAAAGGAAAGGCUUCUAACCUAUUUCUUAAGCGGUUAAAUUCCGUUUACACCUCU
rnacentral:tRNA from 1 species